UAUUACGGUAAUAGUGAUCUAUAGAUUUAUCACUUGGUUAUGUCAAACCAAUGGUUUAUGCCAGCCUACCCGCUUCGAUUGGUGAAGCAAUCGCCCCGCCUGUUAAAAUGGAUCGGCACCACUAGAGCCGUGUACUCUAAAAUCUAUUAAAAAGUUAAAAUUAACUCAAGUUUUAAGUGUAUUCGACUCGUUAUUAACCUCGCCUUU